rnacentral:rRNA from 1 species
UACGAAGGGUGCAAGCGUUACUCGGAAUUACUGGGCGUAAAGCGUGCGUAGGUGGUUCGUUAAGUCUGUCGUGAAAGCCCCGGGCUCAACCUGGGAAUAGCGAUGGAUACUGGCGGGCUAGAGUGCGGUAGAGGAGAGUGGAAUUCCCGGUGUAGCAGUGAAAUGCGUAGAGAUCGGGAGGAACAUCAGUUGCGAAGGCGGCUCUCUGGACCAGCACUGACACUGAGGCACGAAAGCGUGGGGAGCAAACAGGA